GGUGACAGUGACGGGCUGGGCAGCUGCGGUGGUGCUGUGAGGAGAGCAGUGCCCUGCUCCUGCCAGCGCCAUGCGGGGCUUCCAGCGGGGCUCCCGGCUGCUGGCCGCCGUGCUGCGCCCCCCCCGCGCCCCCCGCGCACCCAUCGCCUCCAAACCGCCCGAGCACCCCCUCUCCGCCGCCGAGCAAGCCAUUGCCUUCACCGUGAUGUGCACCUGCUUCCUGGGGCCCACGGCCUGGGUCCUGGCACACGUGGAGCACUACAAGAGCAAAGGGGAGUGAGGAGUGAGAGCAGCCUGCUCCUCGCCGGGAGCACAGACCCCACCACGGAGCGCUGCCGGGAAGGAACCCCCCGAGUUCGUUCAUUAAAAUUCACAUUAGCUUUCAGAAAA